rnacentral:rRNA from 1 species
UACGAAGGGUGCAAGCGUUUAAUCGGAAUUACUGGGCGUAAAGCGUGCGUAGGCGGUUAUUUAAGUCUGUUGUGAAAUCCCCGGGCUCAACCUGGGAAUGGCAAUGGAUACUGGAUAGCUAGAGUGUGAUAGAGGAUGGUGGAAUUCCCGGUGUAGCGGUGAAAUGCGUAGAGAUCGGGAGGAACAUCAGUGGCGAAGGCGGCCAUCUGGAUCAACACUGACGCUGAGGCACGAAAGCGUGGGGGAGCAAACAGG